UACGGAGGGGGCUAGCGUUGUUCGGAAUUACUGGGCGUAAAGCGCACGUAGGCGGCUAUUCAAGUCAGAGGUGAAAGCCCGGGGCUCAACCCCGGAACUGCCUUUGAAACUGGAGAGCUAGAGUCCGGAAGAGGUGAGUGGAACUGCGAGUGUAGAGGUGAAAUUCGUAGAUAUUCGCAAGAACACCAGUGGCGAAGGCGGCUCACUGGUCCGGUACUGACGCUGAGGUGCGAAAGCGUGGGGAGCGAACAGG
rnacentral:rRNA from 1 species